GAUGAACGCUGACAGCAUGCUUAACACAUGCAAGUCUACUUGAAUUUGGGUUUUUUAACUUAGAUUUGGGUGGCGGACGGGUGAGUAACGCGUAAAGAACUUGCCUCACAGUUAGGGACAACAUUUGGAAACGAAUGCUAAUACCUGAUAUUAUGAAUAUAUGGCAUCAUAUAAUUAUGAAAGCUAUAAGCGCUGUGAGAGAGCUUUGCGUCCCAUUAGCUAGUUGGAGAGGUAACGGCUCACCAAGGCGAUGAUGGGUAGCCGGCCUGAGAGGGUGAACGGCCACAAGGGGACUGAGGCACGGCCCUUACUCCUACGGGAGGCAGCAGUGGGGAAUAUUGGACAAUGGACCAAGAGUCUGAUCCAGCAAUUCUGUGUGCACGAUGACGUUUUUCGGAAUGUAAAGUGCUUUCAGUUGGGAAGAAAAAAAUGACGGUACCAACAGAAGAAGUGACGGCUAAAUACGUG
rnacentral:rRNA from 1 species